GAUCAUGGCUCAGGAUGAACGCUGGCGGCGUGCCUAAUACAUGCAAGUCGAACGAAGAUGUCUUCGGACAUCUUAGUGGCGAACGGGUGAGUAAUACGUAAGCAACCUGCCCACAAGGACCGGGAUAACUGCUGGAAACGGUAGCUAAGACCGGAUAGGUAUACUGAAGGCAUCUUUGGUAUAUUAAAGGUUAGAAACACAAGUGGAUGGGCUUACGGCGCAUUAGCUAGUUGGUGAGGUAACGGCCCACCAAGGCGAUGAUGCGUAGCCGGCCUGAGAGGGUGAACGGCCACAUUGGAACUGAGACACGGUCCAGACUCCUACGGGAGGCAGCAGUGGGGAAUCUUCCGCAAUGGGCGAAAGCCUGACGGAGCAACGCCGCGUGAGUGAAGAAGGUCUUCGGAUCGUAAAGCUCUGUUGUCGGGGACGAAUGUUGAGGCCUAGAACAUAGGUUUCAAAUGACGGUACCUGACGAGGAAGCCACGGCUAACUACGUG
rnacentral:rRNA from 1 species